rnacentral:rRNA from 1 species
UACGUAGGGGGCGAGCGUUAUCCGGAUUUACUGGGUGUAAAGGGAGCGUAGACGGCGUCGCAAGUCUGAAGUGAAAGCCCGUGGCUCAACCGCGGAACCGCUUUGGAAACUGCGUGGCUGGAGUGCUGGAGAGGCAGGCGGAAUUCCUAGUGUAGCGGUGAAAUGCGUAGAUAUUAGGAGGAACACCAGUGGCGAAGGCGGCCUGCUGGACUGUAACUGACGUUGAGGCUCGAAAGCGUGGGGAGCAAACAGG